GGGGAUAUAGCUCAUUUGGUAGAGCGCUUCCAUGGCAUGGAAGAGGCGUGGGGUUCGAAUCCCCAUAUCUCCACAA
rnacentral:tRNA from 1 species